UUGGAGGGCAAGUCUGGUGCCAGCAGCCGCGGUAAUUCCAGCUCCAAUAGCGUAUAUUAAAGUUGUUGCAGUUAAAAAGCUCGUAGUUGAAUUUCGGGAUCAAUGUUUCGGUCAUGCCGUUGGUAUGUACUGAUAUUAUUGGUUUCUCACCUUCUAAAGAACCGUAAUGCCAUUAAUUUGGUGUCACGGGGAAUUAGGACUGUUGCCUUGAAAAAAUUAGAGUGUUUAAAGCAGGCUCACGCUUGAAUACAUUAGCAUGGAAUAAUGAAAUAGGACAUCCGAUUCUAUUUUGUUGGUUUCUAGGAUCGAUGUAAUGAUUAAUAGGGAUAGUUGGGGGCAUUAGUAUUCAAUUGUCAGAGGUGAAAUUCUUGGAUUUAUUGAAGACUAACUACUGCGAAAGCAUUUGCCAAGGAUGUUUUCAUUAAUCAAGAACGAAAGUUAGGGGAUCGAAGACGAUCAGAUACCGUCGUAGUCUUAACCAUAAACUAUGCCGACUAGGGAUCGGAUGAUGUUAAUUUUUUAAUGACUCAUUCGGCGCCUUACGGGAAAC
rnacentral:rRNA from 1 species